rnacentral:snoRNA from 2 species
CCCCUCUCAGGGUCACACCUUGAGAGUUUCCAGUACUCUACCAGUCUUGGCUAUGGGAGAGAGAGUCAAGCAGAGGCUUACCCGUUCCAUUCCUAGCUUGGGCAGUGUCUAGAGAGUGGAAGGCAAUUUGCUAUAAGU